rnacentral:rRNA from 1 species
UACCUACGGGGGGCAGCAGUGGGGAAUAUUGCACAAUGGGGGAAACCCUGAUGCAGCGACGCCGCGUGAGUGAAGAAGUAUUUCGGUAUGGAAAGCUCUAUCAGCAGGAACGAGACAAGACGGUACCUGACUAAGAAGCCCCGGCUAACUACGUGCCAGCAGCCGCGGUAAUACGUAGGGGGCAAGCGUUAUCCGGAAUCACUGGGUGUAAAGGGAGCGUAGACGGCUGUGCAAGUCUGGAGUGAAAGGCGGGGGCCCAACCCCCGGACUGCUCUGGAAAAUGUAUGGCUGGAGUG